UACGUAGGUGGCAAGCGUUGUCCGGAAUCACUGGGCGUAAAGCGCGCGCAGGCGGCGAUCUACGUCUGGAGUGAAAGCCCGGAGCUCAACUCCGGGACUGCCUUGGAUACGGGAUCGCUUGAGGAUUGGAGAGGCAAGGGGAAUUCCACGUGUAGCGGUGAAAUGCGUAGAUAUGUGGAGGAACACCUGUGGCGAAGGCGCCUUGCUGGCCAAUUUCUGACGCUGAGGCGCGAAAGCGUGGGGAGCAAACAGG
rnacentral:rRNA from 1 species